rnacentral:rRNA from 1 species
GAUGAACGCUAGCGGCAGGCUUAACACAUGCAAGUCGAGGGGUAUUGGUUUUCGGACCAAGAGACCGGCGCACGGGUGCGUAACGCGUAUGCAAUCUACCUUUUGCAGAGGGAUAGCCCAGAGAAAUUUGGAUUAAUACCUCAUAGUAUAGUACCUUGGCAUCAGGGAACUAUUAAAGUCACAAUGGCAAAAGAUGAGCAUGCGUCCCAUUAGCUAGUUGGUAAGGUAACGGCUUACCAAGGCUACGAUGGGUAGGGGUCCUGAGAGGGAGAUCCCCCACACUGGUACUGAGACACGGACCAGACUCCUACGGGAGGCAGCAGUGAGGAAUAUUGGACAAUGGGCGCAAGCCUGAUCCAGCCAUGCCGCGUGCAGGAAGAAGCAUCUAUGGUGUGUAAACUGCUUUUUGUACAGGAAGAAACACUCCCUCGUGAGGGAGCUUGACGGUACUGUAAGAAUAAGGAUCGGCUAACUCCGUGCCAGCAGCCG